GCCGGGCAUGGUGGUGCAUGCCUGUAAUCCCAGCUACUCAGGAGGCUGAGGCAGGAGAAUCACUUGAGCCUGGGAGGUGGAGGUAGCAGUGAGCCAAGAUCGUGCCACUGCACUCCAGCCUAGGUGACAGAGGGAGACUCUGUCUCAA
ensembl:misc_RNA Metazoa_SRP Metazoan signal recognition particle RNA